GAUGAACGCUAGCGGCAGGCUUAAUACAUGCAAGUCGAGGGGUAGCAAGAUUGUAGCAAUACAAUUGUUGACGACCGGCAAACGGGUGCGGAACACGUACACAACCUUCCUACAAGUGGGGAAUAGCCCAGAGAAAUUUGGAUUAAUACCCCGUAACAUAGCGAUGUGGCAUCACAUUGCUAUUAUAGCUUCGGCGCUUGUUGAUGGGUGUGCGGCUGAUUAGAUAGUUGGCGGGGUAACGGCCCACCAAGUCUACGAUCAGUAGCUGAUGUGAGAGGAUGAUCAGCAACACGGGAACUGAGACACGAGCCCGACUCCUGCGGGAGGCAGCAGUAAGGAAUAUUGGACAAUGGACGCAAGUCUGAUCCAGCCAUGCCGCGUGAAGGAUUAAGGUCCUCUGGAUUGUAAACUUCUUUUAUAAGGGACGAAAAAAGGUCUUUCUAGAUCGUCUGACGGUACCUUAUGAAUAAGCACCGGCUAACUCCGUGCCAGCAGCCGCGGUAAGAC
rnacentral:rRNA from 1 species